rnacentral:lncRNA from 1 species
GGCCUUGCUCUUAUGUCAUCUGACUAAAGGUUUCAUAGACCAAAAAUAACCAUCCAACCUGUUGGAAUACUGAAACAAUUGCUGCCUGCUUUCCACACGCUACAUAAAAUAUGUGGAUAUCCUAAAUUCUACAAAAAAGAUUUGUAAGGGUAAAUCAGUUUACUAUCUUUGUUUUGUUACCUUAGACAGAGACAUCCUGGCCUCCAUGCAGAGGAAUGUGUGGAUGGACAUAUAUUUAAGGAAGACACUAAACCAGAAAAUACUACAUUACACCCUCUUAAAAGACUUCUAAGAUUGUUGUCAUGCCUACCACUGACAUUCAGAUGAUGUGUAUUCUUGAUUGUGAUUUCAUGUUUGGAGCUGAUGAAGGAGUUUGAAGUCUCCAGAGCAGCAAGGAGAGUGGGGAGUAGAACUCAUCAUCUUUAGGUCACUCAUCCCCG